AUUUAAGUAGUUUAUAUAUUAAAAUAUUGAUUUGUGGUAUCAAUGAAAUAAAAUUUUAUCUUAAAUU
rnacentral:tRNA from 1 species